rnacentral:rRNA from 1 species
CCUACGGGUGGCAGCAGUGGGGAAUAUUGCACAAUGGGGGAAACCCUGAUGCAGCGACGCCGCGUGAGUGAAGAAGUAUCUCGGUACGUAAAGCUCUAUCAGCAGGGAAGAAAAUGACGGUACCUGACUAAGAAGCCCCGGCUAACUACGUGCCAGCAGCCGCGGUAAUACGUAGGGGGCAAGCGUUAUCCGGAUUUACUGGGUGUAAAGGGAGCGUAGACGGCAGCACAAGUCUGGAGUGAAAUCCCGGGGCUUAACCCCGGAACUGCUUUGGAAACUGUGCUGCUGGAGUGCAGGAGGGGUAAGCGGAAUACCUAGUGUAGGGGUGAAAUGCGGAGAUAUUAGGAGGAAAACCGGUGGCGAAGGCGGCUGAAUGGACUGUAACUGACGUUGAGGCUCGAAAGCGUGGGGAGCAAACAGGAUUAGAUACACCAGUAGUC